CUGGCUCAGGACGAACGCUGGCGGCGUGCCUAACACAUGCAAGUCGAACGGAGAGCAUAUGAAGUAUUCGGUACGGAAUGCGUUCUAGUGGCGAACGGGUGAGUAACACGUGGGCAACCUGCCCCAGACUGGGGGAUAACAUUGUGAAAACAGUGCUAAUACCGCAUGACAGGGUUCCGGGCAUCCGGGACUCUUGAAAGGAGAAAUCCGGUCAGGGAUGGGCCCGCGUCCAAUUAGCUAGUUGGUGGGGUAACGGCCCACCAAGGCGACGAUUGGUAGCCGAACUGAGAGGUUGAUCGGCCACAUUGGGACUGAGACACGGCCCAGACUCCUACGGGAGGCAGCAGUGGGGAAUAUUGGGCAAUGGGCGAAAGCCUGAACCCCAGCGACGCCGCGUGAAGGAUGAAGGUCUUCGGAUUGUAAACUUCUUUGAUCAGGGAAGGAAGAAAUGACGGUACCUGAAAAACAAGCCACGGCUAACUACGUGCCAGCCGCUGC
rnacentral:rRNA from 1 species